rnacentral:rRNA from 1 species
CAGUAGCCGCGGGAAUACGAGGGGGGCAAGCGUUGUUCGGAAUUAUUGGGCGUAAAGGGCGCGUAGGCGGUUUGGCAAGUUUCGUGUGAAAUCUUCGGGCUCAACUCGAAGUCUGCACGGAAAACUGCCGGGCUUGAGUAUGGGAGAGGUGAGUGGAAUUUCCGGUGUAGCGGUGAAAUGCGUAGAUAUCGGAAGGAACACCUGUGGCGAAAGCGGCUCACUGGACCAUUACUGACGCUGAGGCGCGAAAGCUAGGGGAGCAAACAGGAUUAGAUACCCCGGUAGUCCCUGUCUCUUAUAC